UGAAGAUUCUUUACAUUUCCAUGGCUCUUUUAGCCCUUAUUUUCUUGUGCACCUCUCAUGCUGUUGAGACUCUGGAUGCCCAAGAAGUUGCUUUCUACUACUUAGUCCUCCAGGUUCUCUCUCUCUCUCAUUGCAAAGCCAGUUUGUGUCCCAAAAAGAGUGAGGAAUUCCCCAGAUUCUGCUAGUUUUAGUACUUAUUCCACUAUCAGUUUAUCAAGGAACCCUUCAACCUAAAAGCUUAAGCUGUUAGUUGAGGUCACUGAAGAAGUUUUUAUUCUCUAACACAGUUAUACCAUUAAUGGGCAAAUGCAAGCAAGCUCCAAAACCCAAAUAUGUUGUCCAUCAUUGCAGGCACCAUUUGAAUGGACCCCAAAAUGCAAUCAGAACUAUUUAUGAAUGAAAGUUUGUCAACUUUACCUUGUCCAUCCAAAUUUGUACCACCCACACAAUUAACUAACCUAAAGUAGCACCAGUAACAUUAUAUAGCAUUUCGAGUAAAAGCUUAGAAGGUGUUUUCUCUGUCAGUGUUCUACAUAUUUAUCAUUUCUGUUUUUGGGUUGAUCUUUUUAAACUAGUAAAGAAAUUUGCACUUUAUCAUUAUAGAUCUGCACAGUCAGAUAUAUCUUAUGUGUGGAUUCAUUUUAUCUCAGUUUGGAUUAUAAAUCUUCAGUGGCCAGGAUCAUAUUGCAGGCAGAGCAAAGCAGGAUGCUGCCUUCCAAAGACUGGGGAGCCAGAACGAGACUUCUUUAUUAGGAGCUUGAUUCCCUGCUCCCAGAAUGGAAAACAACUCAAGAAAUGCAGCAGAAGUCCUUUUGACAAAAAUGAGCUCUCUGACCUGUUGGAUCAACUUAAUUUGUACUGGUCUAACAUCAAAUGCCCAAGCAACGAUGGGAGAUUCUUGUGGAAAAGUGCAUGAAAAACAUAUGGAGUGUGCUCUGGGCUUAGUCAACAUGAUUACUUUGAGAGGGCAUUGAAACUUAGAUCUGAUGCCAAUAUGCUUAGCAUACUUGGGGAGAAUGGUAUUAUUCCUACAGAUUAUGCUGACUACAGUCUGUUUGAAGUAGAGGAAGCCAUUAACAAUGAACUUGGAGAUGCAGCUGCAAUUCGUUGCAGUGUUGAUUAUAAGAAUGGUAAAUGUCAGCUUUAUGAAAUCUCUGUCUGCGUGGACAAGGAUGCAAACAAAAUCAUCCCUUGCCCAGUUCUGCCCAAGUUCACUUUUGGUUCCCGUGUUGUGUUUGGUACCUUCACAUAUGACAUGUUGAACAAGUCUACUUCUCUAUCUCCAAACCCCAUUAGAAUGCCAAUAUAUGAGUGACAUUGGCUCUGUGUAAUCGACCUACUUAUGGUUUGAUGAAAAAUAUAAUAAAAAAUGAGAUCUUCUCAGGCAUAAGUGUAUCUUGGGUGUUCAACUGAGGAAUGGUAGAGUUUCCUCUGCUCUCUGCAACAC